rnacentral:rRNA from 1 species
UACGGAGGGGGCUAGCGUUGUUCGGAAUUACUGGGCGUAAAGCGCGCGUAGGCGGAUCUGCAAGUCGGGGGUGAAAGCCCGAGGCUCAACCUCGGAACUGCCUUCGAUACUGCGGGUCUCGAGUCCGGGAGAGGUGAGUGGAAUUCCUAGUGUAGAGGUGAAAUUCGUAGAUAUUAGGAAGAACACCAGUGGCGAAGGGCGGCUCACUGGCCCCGGUAC